UUCAUCUCUACAUUUGAAAGUAUAAUUAUUAAAUUAAAUUAAUGUCACUUUAACAGAAUGAAGUAUGUAAUAAAUGCCAGUACUUUUUAGUGCUAGUAUUUUAAUAUAAUAAACACGAGUACUUUUUAGUGCUCGUAUUUUUCUAAAAUCGAUAGACACAAAAAAACAGCGUUGCGGGGUGGUUGCGAUGCAAUCCGUAGGCUGUGGGUACUGUCGCGAGGGGCCAGUCUCGGAGGCCUGGGACUGUUUCGCCCUGGAUUCGUUCGCAUAUUAUUACAGCCCCGGUAACAGGCCGGGGUUCCCAGGUGCUCGUUGCGUUGUAGUUUGCCAGUGGGUAUGUUAUUCGACCGCUCCAUUACCGGGCGUAAGCUUAUAUCAUGCUAUGCAGGCUAUCCCAUGGGGCCGGGUUGUUGUCCUAAACGUAAAGGGUGUUUGGGGAGUGGGGCUCAGCUCAAUUAGAGGACUAGGAGGCUUGUAAAGGGGUGCAGUGGGUUGGGAUCAUCUGGCACUCUUGGACCGGAAAGGGCAGGUAAACGCUGGUCCUUGAGUGUGGGGAAUGUGGCUGAAGACGUUACGUUAAAUUGUCCGAUCGGAACGUCAUAAAGCUAUGUGGUUAUUCUCAGCCUCCGAUGUCGUACUAGCGCCUUGCUAGUUAACCACCAUAAUAUAAAGCUUUUACUAGUAAAAGUCUUUAUAUUUUUACUUCUCCUCUCGAAACUGAAAAACGCAGGCAUAUAAACUUGUUUUCCGGGUUGCCUCGUUACUCGAAAAAUAAAAACCGUUGUCGAAUGGUUUUUUCUCGACGACACGGUCAAAUUCUUAAUCUGAUUCUUUUUGAGCUGGGUCGCCCUGUAGCCCGGUGAUUUUUGGUCUGGCCAGGGUUCCAAGGAACAAAUGUCCUCAGGAAUGGAGGACCAAGCUGGUAUCGGAGGGUCGAGGCUUGGCCAAGAUUCCGUAAAGGUUCGAAUUGACUGGAACAACACCCGCCGUGCCUUUGGGUCUCUCCGGUGUUUUGGUAUGUCCAUUUAAACGGUUUAAGAAGGUUCUAUCUCUUGGAGUUAUGACCGGUUAAAACCUAUUUUUUCUAAAACUUUAACGGCAUAUGUGCCAGGAAAUCGGAUCUUUAAUAAACCACUCAUUUUGCUAAGUAUUAUUGUAACAAAAAUUCAUGUUUUUUAUUUUUAUCAAGUCUCGGUUGUACUGAAUGGAGAGUGCUAACGUAAUGGAGGUACACAUCUUUCUUUUAUUUUACUGUUUAGUGCUAGUCUGGUCUCUAACGUUAAAUCGAGAGUGCUAAGGCAAUGGAGAUUCCAAGUCUUUCAUUGUUCUAGUGUUUUCUUUUUAGCGUUGUUUGGGAUUAGGUUUGCACUAAAAAUUUUGAAGAAUAUAAUUUUUACUUUCUGUAAUUUUAAACUAAAUUUAAUCACCCUAUUCUAGUCUCUGUAAUGUUGAAUCGAGAGUGCUAAGGCAGUGGAGAUUCCAAGUCUUUCAGUGUUCUAGUGUUUUCUUUUUAGCAUUAUUUGGGAUUAGAUUCUCUCUCAUAAAAAUUGAGUUCACAGCCUUUCUUAUUUUAGCGUUUCCUGUUCAGUUUUAUUUGAGACUAUAUUCUUUCUAAAAAUUUAAAAUGAUGCUAUUCUAGUCUCUGUAACGUUGAAUCGAGGGUGCUACGAAAAUAGAGGUUUACAGCUUCUCUUGUUUUAGGUCUUCUUUUUAGCGUUAUUUGGGGUUAGGCUAUUUCUAAAAAUUCUAAAUAAUAUAAUUUUAAACAAUAAUCACCCUAUUCUAGUAUCAGUGAUGUUGGAUUCUCUCUCUUAAAAACUAUACUAAAAAACAUAAUUUUUGUUUAAAAUAAUCUUUUUUACAUGGUCUCUUGUGAAUGGAUGAUACAAUUACGAUCGAAGAGUAACAGCCUUCUUGUUUUAGUAUUCCCAUUCAUGUAUAAAUUAAGUAAAUUCAUUCUCUGAUUUAAACUGUUUUAUUCUCUAUAUUUUUAUAUAAUUUCAAAUCAAAUUUAUAAUAAUUUUUAUUUAGUUUACUGGUCUUUGAGAUGAAUGAAUUGAUAAUGCUAAAAUAGUGCCGGUUCCAGUCUGGCGUUAUUUUAGGGUUUUCUUUUCACUGUUGUAAGAGAUUGGAAUAAGGGACCAUUUCUUUUUUAAACUUUGCUCUGCCCCAUCAAAUUUUUCUCUGCUCUAUCGCUGUAUCGAAACUAUUUUGCACAACUCUCUAUCUUAUCUAAACUAAUUUUUCCUAAUAAUCUCAUGUCAAAGCGAUAGAGCUCUUUCAAAAUAUAAAAUUUACCCUGCGAUGGACAGCCAGCACUGAGGGGGAGGGACAUACAUCUUGACGUUUAAUCGGAAUGAUGGGAUGGGCAGUAGUCCAGCAUAUUCAGCCUAGUGUCAGUGUUAGUGAGAACUAUGAUCGUGUACGCAGCGUGUGUUAUUUGUGAAUUUAGUCGGUCUGUGUGUUUAGAUGUCCUGCUGCUAAAAAGUAAUUCCAGGUUCUGUCGAUCCUGAUGACGCGUUAAAUGGGAUUCCCCAGGGACCGUCCGUAGUUCCUGAGGAACCAGGGGCGUCCUUCUGCCCCGCGGUGUGACGACGCUGCUUUUUACGCCGUGUGGCAGGAAUCGCCGGUGAAAGGAUGUGGAAUGGAGUAUGCAGAUGAAGAGGAAAUGUAGAAGAACCAUUUCUAAAGCAUAAUUAUAACGGUCGCGUCGGUUCGUGGUUCUGGGGCUGUUCUAAGGCUUUUCACAGCAUUUGAAGGUCACACUUUAUUUGCGUUUAUACAUUCUUUGAUUCGAAUCAUAUAUAAUCCUCUGUAUUUCUUGUCGUUUGUAAAAACCACAAGAAAUACUAUCUUUAAUUUUUUUCGAGGUGUCUAUUUCUCAAAAUAAUUUAAACCCAAUUUGGCUUAUACUCUAUUAUGUUUAAUUUAUUAUUGAAAAACAUUUUUUUUGCUCAAAGUUUAAUGAAAUGUGUGCCAGGAAAUCGGAUCUUCAAUUAACCACUUUCUUUUUUUUAAGUAUUUUUAUAACAAAAAUUAUUAUUUUUUAUAUUUUUAUCUAAUCUCGGUAGUGUUGAAUGGGGAGUGCUAAGGUAAUUGAGGUUCACAGCCUUUCUUAUUUUGGUGUUUUCUGUUUAGUGUUAUUUGGGAUUAGAUUCUUUCUAAAAAUCCUAAAGGAUAUUAUUUUUAUUUUCUGUAAUUUUAAACUAAAUUUAAUCACUCUAUUUUUGUCUCUGUAAUGUUGAAUCGAGAGUGCUAAGGCAAUGGAGAUUCCAAGUCUUCCAUUGUUUUAGUGUUCUCUUUUUAGCGUUAUUUGGGAUUAGGUUCUUUUCAAAAAAUUCUAGAGGACAUCAUUUUUAUUUUCUGUAGUUUUCAACUAAAUUUCAAACAAUAAUCACUCUAUUCUAGUCUCUGUAAUA